rnacentral:rRNA from 1 species
AUACGUAGGUGGCAAGCGUUGUCCGGAUUUACUGGGUGUAAAGGGCGUGUAGGCGGAGAUGCAAGUCAGGAGUGAAAUCUAGGGGCUCAACCCCUAAACUGCUUUUGAAACUGUAUCCCUUGAGUAUCGGAGAGGCAGGCGGAAUUCCUAGUGUAGCGGUGAAAUGCGUAGAGAUUAGGAAGAACACCAGUGGCGAAGGCGGCGUUCGGGAAGGGAACUGACGCUGAGGCACGAAAGCGUGGGGAGAAAACAGGAUUAGAUCCCCUGGUAGGCCACGCUGUAAACGAUGGAUACUAGGUGUAGGGGUUUAAAGACUUCUGUGCCGGAGUUAACGCAAUAAGUAUCCCGCCUGGGGAGUACGGCCGCAAGGCUAAAACUCAAAGGAAUUGGCGGGG